AACGAACGCUGGCGGCGUGCCUAACACAUGCAAGUCGAGCGCGAAUGGAGCAAUCCUAGUAGAGCGGCGCACGGGUGCGUAACACGUGGGUAAUCUGCCUCAAAGCCUGGAAUAACCUGCCGAAAGGCUGGCUAAUACCAGAUAAGCCUACGGGCUCUUCGGAGCCUGAAGGAAAAGGUGGCCUCUGUAUACAAGCUAUCACUUUGAGAUGAGCCCGCGGCCCAUCAGCUAGUUGGCGGGGUAAUGGCCACCAAGGCAACGACGGGUAGCUGGUCUGAGAGGACGAUCAGCCACACUGGAACUGAGACACGGUCCAGACUCCUACGGGAGGCAGCAGUGGGGAAUUUUGCACAAUGGGCGAAAGCCUGAUGCAGCAACGCCGCGUGUGUGAUGAA
rnacentral:rRNA from 1 species